GUCCUGACUUCCUUUGGUGAUGAACAGCAGUAUGGAAGUAUACUACUACAACACCCGUCUUUGUGUUUCCCUGUGAGCAUACAUAAACCAGCCUUCCUCAGCCAGUGGAGGCCUAGAAAGAGAACUGUUGGAUUCUACGUUGUGCUUACUUUCAGUUUUACAAAAUAUUAUUAAAUUGCUUUCCAGAGUG